UGGAACGUGGUUACUUUGUGCCACCUCUUCAACAUGCCUCUCGGUUGUGGCGCUACAGUCAUCAUCCAGCAACCCUGCAACUGCCGCCCCCCCUCCAUCCAUCCCCAGAGGAUAUCUACCUGUCAAGCGAUAGAUAUUUAUUUGGACCUCCGGGCAUGAAGCUCUAUAGAUCGCCAAUGUAUUAAACGCCACAGCUUCAUCAUUACCUGUUAUUGAUCAUUCGGCCAGAUGUACUGCUGCUGUUUUCGUUGCGCGAUGCUGUUAUUUCUUACCCCUUCUCAUCAUUUUUAUAAUGGACUUUUGAAUAAAAUUCAUGUGAAACAUUGA